rnacentral:rRNA from 1 species
AAGACUAGGAACACCUUUACUUUGUGGUGUUAAAAAAACUUUUCGUCUAAGUGAAAAGACUUAGAUAACAAAGGAAGACGAAAAGACCCCGCGGAACUUUACCUCUUCUCGCGCUUCUGUUUAUACACUUAAGAGUGCUUAAG